GACGAACGCUGGCGGCGUGCUUAACACAUGCAAGUCGAACGCUGAAGACCUGGCUUUUGUUGGGUUGGUUGAGUGGCGAACGGGUGAGUAACACGUGAGUAACCUUCCCUCUUCUUUGGGAUAACGCCCGGAAACGGGUGCUAAUACUGGAUAUUCACUAAUCUUCGCAUGGGGGUUUGUUGUUAGGUUUGUUCUGGUUGGGGAUGGGCUCGCGGCCUAUCAGCUUGUUGGUGGGGUCAUGGCCUACCAAGGCUUUGACGGGUAGCCGGCCUGAGAGGGUGACCGGUCACAUUGGGAGAGAGAUAAGGCCCAGACUCAUACGGGAGGCAGAAGUGGAGAAUAUGGCAAAAUAGGCAAAAGCCUGAUGCAGCGACGCCGCGUGAGGGAUGGAGGCCUUCGGGUUGAAAACCUCUUUCGAUCAUGGUAAAGCCGCAAAUGUGGGUUGUGGUGAGGGUAGUGGGUAAAGAAGCGCCGGCUAACUACGUG
rnacentral:rRNA from 1 species